UUUAGCUCUCAUUUACAUAUUAAGUUACUAAAAAAGUACUAUUUAAAAAUAAGCAAAAUUUACAGAAAACAAAAUAGACUAAGAAAGAGAUUAAGUAAGUAUUAUUUUAUUUUUAAAGGGAUAUUAAUAUGGUCAUUUAUUUGGUUACUUUUAGGAAGUAUCAAAAAUAUGAUAUAUAAAAAGAAUUACAAUUAUGUAAUUGCAGAUGAUAAUACAAUAAUAUUAAGAGAACAUUUGUUGUAUAAUAAUCGCUUUGAAAAAAAAGAAGAAAAUAGCAUUUUGUUUAAUAAAACUUUUUAUUUUUUAAUGGAAAAUAAAAAUAAAUGUUUUUAUUAUGACCUGAACAAUUUUCAAAUGAAAUAUAAAAAAAAUAAAAAAAAUCUGUACACACAUUAUGUAAAUCACAUAUACAACUUUUUUUAUCUACUUUUUUUUAUAAUAAUAAAUAACUUUGUAGCUUUUUACAAAUUUAUUAUUCAAGAAUUAUUAAUAAACAUAUGUGCAUUAGGUGUAACUACGAAUUCGAUUGUCGCAGGUAUAUCCUGUAUUUAUUUUAUUUAUGAUUAUAUUACAACUUGCAUUUAUUAUUUACAUCUACCAAAUAUACAAUUGCAAAUAUAUAACAUAGAGGAAAGAAUCUUAAUUAAUUUUACAAGAUAUAUGUUUAAAAAAAAACAAUUAGAAAAAUUAAAUAGUAAUUUAAAUAUACUAGAAAAAGAAAAAUUUAUAUAUGAUAUUAUAACGGAUUCUAAAAAACCAUUAAGUUUUAAUAAUGGCAACGAAAGUGGAGUACCAGAAAAAAAGAACAUACUAAAAGAAGAUACAACAUGUUAUAAACAAAUGCAAAAACAAACAACUGUUGAUGAUCAUGUGAAAAUUAGUCAAAAUGACGUGGACACAAGUGAUAUACUUACUACUUCAUCUUCUUCUAUCACCCAGAUGGAUGUAAAAAAUCAAACAAAAAAAAAAGCAUCAUUAGUUAUGAAUAUAACAAAAUUGUUAAAAAGGAUGUAUACCUAUGAUAAUACUAACUGUUCGGAAAAUGUUUGUUCAAAAGGAUUGUGCUCUAACGACAUACUAUCCCAUAGUUACACACACCCUACCCAUACGUACCACGCGAACCUACACCAUACCAAUGAUAAUAUUUUACAAAAUUUUGAAUGUGAGCGAUAUAUAAAAUCUUACAAUCAACAUACAAAAUUAUAUAAUAACGUACAAAUUCCCUUCUAUAAUUGUUCCCAAAAAAAAAGGCCAAAUAAAUCUAUUAUUC
rnacentral:lncRNA from 1 species